CUUUGGGCCUUCGUUUCGGUAAUUAAAAGAAGCCCUGGGCCUGGGAAAAGACUGGUUCUUCUUUUGACUCCAUUUCCCACGUUCUAUUCUCUGUGCUGAAGUAACCGGCGGCGAAACAUGAAAAUUGGCGGCGUAGCGUUUCAUCACCGGCGGCGAUUCAUUUCCACCACAUUCUAUCCCACUUCAACUUUUUUACGGUUCUUUUGUUCCUCAUCCUUCAUCUGGUGUACAGAACACAUAUCAUUCAUCAAAGAUGUAGCUGCAACUUGCGUUCCUGAGCAUUUGACCGAUUUGCUGAAUAUGCUUCAGACAAGAGGGGAUUCUAUUAUUUCGCCUGGAGACAAACAUGGCAUUUUCCCCCUUGCAAUACCUUUGUCAAGAAACAGCUCAGGUGCUAUGAUUUCUCUGUUACGGUGGCCAACAGCACCAUCUGGGAUAGAUAUGCCGGUUGUGCAAGUCUAUAAGCAUGGUGUGUUUCCAUUAGCCAAGAAUGUUGACCAGUAUAUUCAUAGAAUGUUGGUGGAAGAAGAUGCCUGUAGCCCUAAAGACAGGAACAGAGAACUACUUCAUGUUUCAGCAAAUGCUGGAAAACUGUAUAGAGAGGGGAGCUUCAUAGAUUCACAAUUGCCCAACUUAGAUACCUACCAUCUAAGAAAGGUUGGUGUGUUCCCUGAUAUUUUAGAACGCAAGAUUAACAAACACCUUGAGAAAGGGAACCGAGUUUCAGCUUUAAUAACGGGGGAAUUUUAUGCAAAGAAGCAGCAUUUUCCUGGCUUUGGACGUCCUGUUGCAUUUAAUGCACAUAUUUUGAUGAGGGUUGGGCGUGAUUUGGAGGCUAAAGAUGCUGCAAGAGGCGCGCUGAAAUCACCGUGGUGGACUUUGGGAUACAAAUACCAGGAAGUUGCUGAGAUAGCCAAAUGGAAGGACGAGCAAAUUUGUUAUGUUAAGAAAAAGUUGACAGAUGAAGGAAAGCGUGAGGAUUUGAGCAGGGGAAAGGAGCUUGCUCAGAUUGCAUUGGAUCAAGCUGCUUUUUUACUAGAUUUGGCUUCUGUCGAGGGGAAUUGGGAUGAUUUUGUGGAUCGCAUAAGUGAAUGCUACAAAGUUGCUGGUCUCCAUGAUAUGGCGAGAUUUAUAGCAUAUAAAAGCUAAACACGAGAUGCAAAUGUCCCAGAUCAGAAUUACAGAGUAUCUUAGCAGCUUUAAGUUUCAGAAGAGUAGAUCUACUUCAAUAAGUUGGCUGCAGAUUUGCAAUUAGGAGCUCGGAAACGGCAAAAAAUCCGCAAAAGCUUUACUACAAGUGUGAUCCUUGUGAUAAUUUCAAAUGGUGCAAAGGUUUUCUUGAGCACACAAGUGAUGAAGUUCAGAGCAAGGGAAACAGAGAUGAUGAAAACAGGGGAAUGCAAGAACAAAGCUGGGGAAUGCAAGAACAGAGCAGGGGAAUGCAUGAAGAGUUGAAGCUAUUGAAGAAGAAGAUCAAACAACAGAAACAGCAAAUC